rnacentral:rRNA from 1 species
UGACCUACGGGAGGCAGCAGUGGGGAAUCUUGGGCAAUGGGCGCAAGCCUGACCCAGCCAUGCCGCGUGUGCGAAGAAGGCCUUCGGGUUGUAAAGCACUUUCAGUAGCGAAGAAAAGCCAGGGGCUAAUACCCCCGGGUCUUGACGUUAACUACAGAAGAAGCACCGGCUAACUCCGUGCCAGCAGCCGCGGUAAUACGGAGGGUGCGAACGUUAAUCGGAAUUACUGGGCGUAAAGCGCACGUAGGCGGUUCGGUAAGUGGGAUGUGAAAGCCCUGGGCUCAACCUGGGAACUGCAUUCCAAACUGCCGAGCUAGAGUAUGGUAGAGGGAGGUAGAAUUUCCUGUGUAGCGGUGAAAUGCGUAGAUAUAGGAAGGAAUACCAGUGGCGAAGGCGGCCUCCUGGACCAAUACUGACGCUGAGGUGCGAAAGCGUGGGGAGCAAACAGGAUUAGAUACCCCGGUAGUC